GGAAAGGUUCACUCAACUUAGAAGAGAAUUAGGAAUGAUUGAUUUAAAUGUUUGAUUCUUUUUGUUUUGAAUGACUGUUUUUAUUUUAUUUUAUUUUAUUUUAUUUUAUUUUAUUUGCCACGCAGUUGAUUUUUUUGAAGCCGGAAACACUUUUUGCUUUUUGCAAAUUCGGACGCCCGAAAAAAUAUUUCGGACGCCCAAAUUUCGGUUUCCGGUCGCACGAAAAUUUUCGGGCGCCCGAAACCUGCGUUGACCACCGUAGCCCGUCUGACCGACCUAGCGGGUUAGCGGGUUUUGGAUCCGGGCGACCAGUUCGGAUCGCACCCGCACCCGAAAACUGGUUUGACCACCUCGCCCGUCUGACCGCCCUGACGGCUUACCUGAUUCCGGAUCUGGGCGACCGGUUCGGUUCGCACCCGUGCUCGAAACCUGCGAGUGGGCCUUUUGUCGUCCUAGCCGUCCGACAGCCCUUCUUUUUCAAAUUUUUUUUUUUUUUUCUCUUCUUCUUCUUCCUCCUGCCACUCAGGUCGCCCACUCCCUGCGCCGAACUUGUGCCUGCUCCGCCCCAAACACCUCCAGCACUCGGAUCUCCUCUCAUUUUCUCCUCAAUCUAUCGUAUUUCUUUUCCAUUUUUUUUUUCUUUCUUCUUCUUCUUUCUUUCUUCUUCGUCCUGCUGUUAACCCUAAUUGCUCUUCCUUUCCAAAAUUUUAUUUUUGGAAAUUUUUUGUACUUUUUGCAACCUAACCUCAACCUCUACCAUGAUC
rnacentral:lncRNA from 1 species